ACAGUUCGAUGAACCUUGACAAACUUAAGUGAUGCAAUUGCCAUCAUAAUCAAGAUAUAUACAUACAGAAAAUUUCCAUCAUCUCAAAAGUUUCCUUCAAGUUCCUUUGUUGAUAAUCCCGUCUCCCUUCCCUAGAAACCACUGGGCACAUGAUCAUUAUCUGAGUCCUUGGGAGUCAGUUUAUGAAAUCUGAGUCACACUUGGACCAUUAUAAAAGCACAAGACAGGUAGGACUCUCUGCUGACGCACAGUCAAUACAUACUGACUGUUCACUCGGAUAAUAAAUGAGCUUUCUAUUUAGCUCUCUUCAGGACAUGGCAACAAACAGUGGGUUUUAAUGGCAUUCAUUUAUUUAUGUGUUCAUUCACUAAUUCAUUUAUAAAACUCACGUUGAGCAAUUACUACAUGCAUGUGUUUAUCUGUGGGUGAAAACCAAAAAAAAAAAAAAAAAAAAAA